rnacentral:lncRNA from 10 species
GUAAAACCAAAGACAGGCAGCCCGGCGCCAGGCCUGAAACCAGGCCUGGGCCUGCCUGGCCUAAACCCAGUAGUUAAAAAUCAACUCAUAACUUAGAAACUGAUGUUAUUCAUAGAUUCCAGACAUUGUAUAGAAGAACAUUGUGAAACUCCCUGUCCUGUUCUGUUUCUCUCUGACCACCGGUACAUGCAGCCCCUGUCAUGUACCGCCUGCUUGCUCAAAUCAAUCACGACCCUUUCAUGUGAAAUCUUUAGUGUUAUGAGCCCUUAAAAGGGACAGAAAUUGUGCAUUCGGGGAGCUUGGAUUUUAAGGCAGUACCUUGCCAAUGCUCCCAGCUGAAUAAAGCCCUUCCUUCUACAACUAGGUGUCUGAGAGGUUUUGUCUGCGACUCGUCCUGCUACAUUUCUUGGUUCCCUGACCAGGAAGCGAGGUGACUGACGGACGGCCGAGGCAGCCCCUUAGGUGGCUUAAGCCUGCCCUGUGGAGCAUCCCUGAGGGGGACUCUGGCCAGCCUGAGUGAUGUGGUCCGAAGAGCGCUUGGGUAGGAAAUUGCCCCUGUGGAAUGCCUCGUCAGAGCAGCGCAUAGCAGGCCCCCACGGAGGAUUAACACAGUGGCUGAACACUGGGAAGGAACUGGCCCUUGGAGUCCAGACAUCUGAAACUUGCUCUCAAGAGUUUGGGGUUUUUGAGGUUUGCCAUGGUACAUCAAUAGAAUAUCAAAUGACAGGAUAAGACCUAGAAGACAAAUGUAAAAUUCCAAAAUGCAUGCUGUGGAUGAAUGUAGCAAUAUGAGAUGAGUACUAUUUGGGAUGCAGAAAGCAAUAUUUAACUGAUCAGCUGCCACUCACAUCAUGAAUCAGAAGCAGCCUUAAAAGAAAGGAUCCCUUCUUGCUAUUUUGAAGGGAAAUAACUGAGUCCUUUGGAGCUGAAAAUGAAAAACUGAGUAGCUGGUGGAAGAAGCGAGAUGGGUUUGGAACUCACAGGCUAUGUUUCUGGAUGCAUCACAUUUGCAAGAGGGAAGUUUUGGUGUCCCUGUGGGUAUAUUAGCACUCCUUUACUCCAUUUCUCUGUAGCUACUCAAGCAAGUGACAAAAGGCUGCAGAGUCCAAGAAAGGUGACAGAUAUGAAGAAAUGCAGUGGUUGCAAAGGACAAAGACAAUGGCAACACAAAUAAAAGAAAUUAUGAGAAGGAAAUAAAUAUUAAAAAAAAAACCCAAACGUUUGUUGAUGUAAACUGAAAAUAAAUUUGGAAUGAGCUGUGUGCACUUGGAAAUGAGAAGCUCUGUCCUGCACCAUGAAGGGCUUUGUGUGCAUCCAUGGGUUGCUUCUGCAUGCAGAAUGAGACUGGAACAAAAAAGAACCAUUUAAAACACAGGAUCCAGGUGAUUCAGGAUUUUAAAUUGAAGAUUGAUCAUACAAGCUGGAAGACGUCCCAUGACACUUUAUUUGAAAUUGGAACAUCAGAAUUUGGUUGGGUCUAUCUUUUACUAACUCUGUACCAUGAAAAAAUUAUUUAAUAUUUCUGAACUGUGUAAAGAAUAAAAUUAGAUUAUGAAUUCAAUCUGUUGCUGCAUAAUCAAUUACCUCCAAUCUUAGCAGCUUCAAACAACAAACAUAAAUAAACUUAGUUUCUGCAGCUCAGGAAUUCAGGAGUUUAGCUAGAUGGUUCUGGCUUGGAGUCUUCCAUGAGGUUGCCAUCUAGAGGUCAGCCAAGGCUGCAGUCAUUUGAAGGUUUGACUGGGGCUUGAGAAUUCACUCUCAUGGCUAGUCACAUGUUCACUUCUGUGUUGGCUGUUGGCAGGAAUUUUCAGAACCUUGCCAUGUGGGUCUCUCCAUAUGGCUGCUUAAGCAUCCUCAUGACACGUCAGCUGGUCUCCCCAGUGGGAGUGAUCGAAGAGACAGAAGCAAGAAUGUCUUCAAUGACCUACCCUUGUAAGUCACAUACCUCACUUUCACCUAAUCCUCAAAAGGAGAGAGUUAGACUCCACCUUUUGGAGGCAAGAAUGUCAAAGAAUUUGUGGACAUAUUUCAAAACCAUCACUGGAUCAUAUAUGUGAAAAUAAACACUUACAAAAAAUAAAGUGCUAUAAAUGGGAUACAUUCAGAUAAGGAACCCUUCUUUCAAUGCCAUCCCAGAAUUCCCUCAGCUUAAUUCUCCCAGAAGCUUCAAGACCUUCUAAAAUUGUUUGGGCUUGGUCUUUAUAGUCUGGAGGCACCAAAAGCCUGAGAUUUGUAUAGAUUAAGGAAGAAUCAGAAUCUAAGAGACAUUAAAUGACUAGCCAAAGAUCACACUGCUAGUUGGUGGAAGUCCGAGGAGUUUGUCCUAAGUGUGCCUAACUUCAAAUCCCCUCAUCUUAAUCAUUGUGUCACAUCAUGUCAUAAAAAUGGAUGAAAGAAGAAAGAAGACACAAACACCCAGUAUUAUUUUAGGACAAUUUCAUGGCAUUAAGUGUGGAUUUUCGUUUUAGCUAACAUUUUCAUGAAGGAAAAUCUUUGAGGAUGUUCUCUCCAUUAAAAAAAGAAGGAAAAAAACUCAAGAUAAUUAUAGAUUUACAUGCAGUUGUAAAAGUUAGUAAUGUAAAGAGAAGGCUUGUACACUUUGCCUAAUUUCCCCAGUGGUAACUUUUUUAGAGCUAUAGUAUGAUAUCACAACCAGGAUAUUGACAUCAGUCAAUCCACUGAUCUUAUUCAGUUUUCCUAAGUUUACUCUUUAAUGUGUGUGUGAAGUUCUACACAAUUUUAUUACUCGUAUAAGUUCGUGUAUCAUCACCCUGGUUAAAAUACUGAGGGGUUCCAGUGCCACAAGGAUCCCUCCUAUUCUUUUUGAGCCACACCCAUUCCCCUUCUUCCCCAAUUUCUCCACCUCCCUUUCUAACUAUCUGCCACUAGUCUGUCCUCCAUUUCUAAAAUUUUGUCAUUUCAAAAAUUUAAUAUAAGUGGAAUUAUGUAGUAUACAACAAUUUGGAGUUUUGUUUUUGCUCAACAUGAUUUCCUAAAGAUUCAUUCAAGUAGUUCUGUAUAUCGAUAGUGUAUUUCUUUUUAUUGCUGAGUAGUAUUACAAUUUUGUUUAACCAUUCAACUCUUUUUUGUUAGUUUCUUUUUGUUUUUGAGAUGGAGUCUGUUGCCCAGGCUGGAAUGCAGCAGCGCGAUCUCUGCUCACAGCAACCUCUGCCUCCUGUGUUCAAGCUAUUCUCCAGCCUCAGCCUCCUGAGUAGCUGAGAUUACAGGCGUGAGCCACAGCGCCCACCCUAGCCAUUCAACUCUGAAGCACAUCUGGGUUGAUACCAGUUUUGGGCUGUUACAAUAAAACUUCUAUGAACAUUCACGCACAAAUUUUUGUGGGAACAUACGUUUUCAUUUCUCUAGGAUAGAUGUACAGGAAUAAAAUUCUGGGUCAUAUGGUAGUUGCAUGUUUAAAUAUUUAAGAAACUGCUAAACUGCUUUCCAGAGUGUCUGUACCAUUUCACAGUCCUAAAAGCGAUGUAUGAAUGAUCCAGUUUCACCAUUUCCUCAUCAGCAUUUGGUGUUGUAAUUCUCAUUUUAAUAAUGCUUAUAGAUGUGUGGUGAUAUCUCAUUAUGGUGUUCAUUUGUAUUUCUCUAAUGACCAAUAAAUAUUUAACAUAUUUCCAUGUGCCUGCUUUUUUGCCAUUUUAUAUCCUCUUUGGUCUAUAAUGCCUUUUGUCCAUUUUCUAAUUAAAUAUUUAUGUAUUGUUGAGUUUUCAGAGUUCUUUAUAUAUUCUAGAUAUUAUUCCUUUGUCAGCUAUGUGGUUUUAAAAUAUUUAUUUCUAUCUUGUAGCUUGUAAUUUCAUUUUCCUCACGUGGACUUUCACAAAGCAAGUGUUUUUAUUUUUGAUAAAAUCAGAUUUGUCAAGUUUUCCUUCUGUGGAUCAUGAUUUUGUUGUCAAGUCCAAUAACUGUCUGCCUAGCUCCAGAUCCCAAAGUUUGCUCCUGUG